rnacentral:RNase_P_RNA from 1 species
GAUGAAAGAAAUUGAAGAUGAGAUCAGAGACUAGAGUCAAAAGUGGCUCUAACAUCUUCCCUGAGUUUUGGGGACGUAGGUUCCCAGAGAACGGGGCUGUGAGUUCCCAGAGAAUGGGGAUGGCAGACAGGGCAGGAGAUACCGUGGACCCUGCCAUCAGGCAGGGGCCUGGCAGAUGCCUCCUUAGCUGGAACUUGGAGAAGACUCAGCCUGCAGUCAGAGAAGUUCAAUGGCUGAGGUGAGGUACUCACUGCAGGGGGCCUUAUAACUUAACUCAGACUACUCUCUCCUGCC